UACGUGAGGGGCUAGCGUUGUCCGGAUUUAUUGGGCGUAAAGAGCGUGUAGGCGGCCAGGUAGGUCUGCUGUGAAAACUCGAGGCUUAACCUCGAGCUGUCGGCGGAAACCAUCUGGCUAGAGUCCGGAAGAGGAGAAUGGAAUUCCCGGUGUAGCGGUGAAAUGCGCAGAUAUCGGGAAGAACACCCGUGGCGAAGGCGGUUCUCUGGGACGGUACUGACGCUGAGACGCGAAAGCGUGGGGAGCGAACAGG
rnacentral:rRNA from 1 species